AGGGCACCACCAGGAGUGGAGCCUGCGGCUUAWUUUGACUCAACACGGGAAAACUCACCCGGCCAGGACACAAUAAGGAUUGACAGAUUGAUAGCUCUUUCUCGAUUUUGUGGGUGGUGGUGCAUGGCCGUUCUUAGUUGGUGGAGCGAUUUGUCUGGUUAAUUCCGAUAACGAACGAGACUCUAGCCUAUUAAAUAGACGCAAUAUUUGUUUGUAUUACGUCCUUCUUAGAGGGACAAGCAGCUCCUAGCUGCACGAGAUUGAGCAAUAACAGGUCUGUGAUGCCCUUAGAUGUCUGGGGCUGCACGCGCGCUACAAUGAAGGUAGCAAAGUGCUUAGAAUCCAUGUCUGAAAAGACUUGGUAAUCACGAAUUAUUUUCGUGCUUGGGAUAGGGGAUUGCAAUUAUUUCCCUUGAACGAGGAAUUUCUAGUAAGUGUGAGUCAUAAGCUCACGUUGAUUACGUCCCUGCCCUUUGUACACACCGCCCGUCGCUACUACCGAUUGGAAGGUUCAGUGAA
rnacentral:rRNA from 1 species